CAUCUCCUCAAGAAUAAAUUUGAGGUAUAGCCUGCUCUAUGAAUUUUUUUAAAUGGCCGCGGUAUUUUGACCGUGCGAAGGUAGCAUAAUCAUUAGUCUUUUAAUUGGAGGCUGGUAUGAAUGGCUGGACGAGAAAAUUUCUGUCUCUGUUAUAAAAUUUGAAUUUUAUUUUUAAGUGAAAAAGCUUAAAUUUGUUUGAGGGACGAUAAGACCCUAUGGAUCUUUAUAAUGAUAUAUAGUAAAAAGCUUAGGUGUGACAGCUUACUGUUUUAAAUUAUUGGGUUGGGGCGACCGGAAGAAAAAAAUAUCUCUUCUUUAAUAAUAUAAUUUUUUUAGAAAUAAAAUGACCCUGAAUUUUGGUUUAAAAGACUAAGUUACCCUAGGGAUAACAGCGUAAUCUUUUUGGAGAGUUCAUAUCGAUAAAAAGGUUUGCGACCUCGAUGUUGGAUUAAGAGAUCCUUGCGGCGCAGCCGUUGUAAAGGAGAGUCUGUUCGACUUUUAAAUUCUUACGUGAUCUGA
rnacentral:rRNA from 1 species